GAUGAACGCUGGCGGCGUGCUUAACACAUGCCAGUCGAACGGAAAGGCUCCUGCUUGCAGGGGUACUCGAGUGGCGAACGGGUGAGUAACACGUGGGUGAUCUGCCCUGCACUUCGGGAUAAGCCUGGGAAACUGGGUCUAAUACCGGAUAGGACGAUGGUUUGGAUGCCAUUGUGGAAAGUUUUUCGGUGUGGGAUGAGCUCGCGGCCUAUCAGCUUGUUGGUGGGGUAAUGGCCUACCAAGGCGUCGACGGGUAGCCGGCCUGAGAGGGUGUACGGCCACAUUGGGACUGAGAUACGGCCCAGACUCCUACGGGAGGCAGCAGUGGGGAAUAUUGCACAAUGGGCGCAAGCCUGAUGCAGCGACGCCGCGUGGGGGAUGACGGCCUUCGGGUUGUAAACUCCUUUCGCUAGGGACGAAGCGUUUUGUGACGGUACCUGGAGAAGAAGCACCGGCUAACUACGUG
rnacentral:rRNA from 1 species